GGGAAGAGAGAGGGAGGAGGACAGGCUGGAGACCAGGAAACGCAUCUCCCCACUGCUGGCCAUCCGAGAGCCCCCAGCAGAGACCUACACAAGUAGCAGCAAGAGGAUGCACCAAGAGUGCUACAGUGUUGUCUGUUCUCCCUCCUUUCCUCUCCAAGCCCUGCCGGGGCAGGCACAAGAGAGGAGCUGCCUGUGAGGAGACUCAGAGCCUGGGAAGACCCUCCUGCAAGCCCCUGUGUGGCUGAGUGAGCACAGCAGGGGAGGGGGACACAGCGCCAGGGGGAGACUGCCCUGGUUUUUCCCUGUCCAACAUCUCUGGUUAGGUCCCAAUCUUCAGUCCCCGAUGACCAGGACUUGCCCGUAGGUUUUUUGAAUUUUGUGUCUUUUUAUGGCACUGGCACUAACAUGACAAGACUGAAUAGAAUGAGUUAACCCCUUUGAUGUGUGAGGACGUGUCUGGCCUUUAGAGAGAAUUACAUGAAUACCUGCAACCCUCGAGCAAUUUAAUCUCAGUCCUCUCUGCAAAGUAAAGACUAUUGUCACUGAAGGCAUAGAACAAUGAUGCUCAAUCUACAGCUUGCAAAUGGGAUAUGGCCCAUAAAAUCAUGUUAUUUGGCUUGUGGGACUCAAGCCCCAUAGGUUUCAGGCUGUGACCUUGAACCUGGGGCUUCAGCCUGCCCAGUAUAGCCGCUCAUCUUGAUCUGCCAUCUCUUCAGCAGAGUUUUGGGAUGGACACAGCUGGUCAAAACCCUCCAGUUAGGCCUAGCCACAUGCCUACUCCCUGCCACUGGCCUGGCCAGCCAGGGUAAACUGUGACCCCUCAACCCUUCCAACAGAAACCCCUGACCCAGAAGAGGAAAUGUCUGGCCAGUAGGGUUCAACCCUGUAUCUGGGCUGCUGCACCUUUGGCUUGUGCUGCUACUGGUUUCCUAACAGACUCCAGAUACCUGACCUAGGUUGCCCAUGGACCCCAAGUUUGGUCUGACCUUUUGGAUACCUGACCCAAUUCUCAUAUGAUUUCCUGGACACCUGACCUGGCUAUCCCUUUGACCCUCUGGAUUUCUGACUUGGUUCCCCAGAUUAAUCUUCUGGCUUUCCUAUGCUCCAACUUGGCACACACCCCUUGGACUCUGCUUGCUUCUCCUGACCCUGAGGUAACCCACAGACCUGACCGCCUAUGACUCAGCAGGAUAAUAGGUCCAGAAAUGUGGUGGUGGAGGAGUGGUGGAAGCCUUAAUUGCCAUGGCUCUGGGAGCUGUGGCAUUUAAUGCCACCACUUUCCUGCUGCCAAAUUCCUGGAUGCUUGGGGAGCCUGGUAGGCAGGAAGACAUGGUUCUGUGCACCAGAUUGGGCUAGUAGUCAUGGCCAGUCCCGAUGGAGCUGGUGCCUGGGGUUGGGCUAAUGUGUGGAGCUGCCCCCUCAUGCCAGACUGUACCCAUAGACCCAUUCCACAUGCCAACCCUAUGCUGAAUCAGGCCUGGGGACUGACCUGCCAUGUGGGAUCUGGCCUGUGGACCAACCCUAAGCCACUCACCUGGCCUGCAGGGCUGGAUGGGUUGAGCACCACUGACUUAGAAGAUGGAGUAUACUAAUUGCAUGCACAACAUCUGAGAACCUGGGUGAGAUGGUGGAUACUUCAGAAGACAGGAUGUAUGUUUGUCCAUUUUUGGUAAAAUAUAUCUGAAGUUUUUCCAGUCACAUUCUUCCAGAUUCUAGAAUAUAUAUUUUUUAAAAUGGACCCAAAUGCUUUCUAUUUUCUUUCAUUUUUAUUGUUUAUGAUUAAUGUCACUUUAAUGCCCCAUGAUGUUAUUUUAACCUAUGUGGUAAUAUAAAAGAGCAUUAAUGAACUAAACUGUAGUUAUUUUCACUUUAAGGUGACUUUGCACUGUUAGGUAUAAAAUGGCUUUAGUGUAGAUGAAAAUUCAGUCUCUCUGUGCAUAACUGUAUAAAAAGAAGAAAUAAAACCUGGCUUUUGUCUGCAGGAGAUUUCAGAGAGGAUUUGCCAGUCCUUCAGAAGCCAUUUUGAACCCUGUAGGAGUUAUGAACAACUUUGUUGUAAUCUUAACUGUAUAUUGCCAAUACCAGAGUUCUCUUCAGCAAAUGUGGAUUGCUAGUCCAGGACAGGAAGCACUAUAAAAGAAAACUGUUGGCUCUGGGAAACAAAUACAGCUUAUGGGUGGGGGGAUUCCACUUGAACAGAUUCAGAAUAAGAAUGUUGCUUAGCCGAUCUAUGAACUAGUGCUGCUUUUUAAUGUUGUUUCCUUAAAAUCAUAAAAGUGUUGACUACAGCUUUUCCCUUAUUAGUUUGUAUUAGAAGAAAGAGUAAAAACAAAGUUUAAUGAACCUAUCCAAAUUAUGCGAAAGCUAAGCAUUUUGAGGAUUGUUGCAUCUAUGUUUUCAAAGUUAUGUGGAACAGUGAUAAGCCUGUUGAUUAUAGGGGCAUGAAAAAUCUAGGAAAUAGAUAAUAGGACAUUGAGCUCUUUAUUUUAAUUCAUUUGAAUUUGGAGUAGGUCAUAGAUAUUGAGAAUGACUCUCCUCUAACUUACCCUCGUUUUAUUUUGGUGUGUCUCUGACAAAUACAAUGACCUUAGCUCUGCUUCUUCCUGGUGUACCUCGGGGCAUCUAUACAAGACAGUUACUGCAGAGUUGCCUAAUUAGCUCUGCAGUAAAGUUUUACUGUCUACAUGUGCGGAGCUAUUAGACCAGAGUAAACUAAUUAACUCCAUCCUAGGUUAGUACUGCCGACACAAGUACUAUCCUCCAGCAGAGUUUACUCUGUUGCAAAGCACGUGUAGAUGGUGACUGGGGGCUGGCUAGGGCAUGAUGGUGCUACAGUGCAGGUACUUUUUGCUGGCUAGCUGUACACUGCAGCACCCUUGUGCCCCUUCCAGUCCCUCUUUAGCAUGUUGAGCUGUGGGGAGUAGCUCCAGGCUGGCAGGAUUAACCCCCUGCCAGACCCUCUGCCAACCAGACUCAAUGUGCUGCAGUCCCAGACACAUCUGUAAAUUCUGCACCCAGGAGCAAUACACUCCACCACAAACUGUGCCAGAGUUUAUUGCAUUGCACUAAUUUUAUGUGGAUGUGCCUACAGGUCAGAAAGCCAAAACAAUCCCUGUAGAAUGCGCUGAUGGAAAUGCACCCAACAGUCAGAUACUGGUUUAUACUUUGACACGUAAUCUAUUUCCAAAACGUAGGUUUUUUUGUGUAGGUUUUUUUCUCCAAAUGGAUUCAAGUAUAGAUAAGGAUAAUUUUAGUAUCCUUAAAAACAUAUGGCUAUUAUAAAUGGCCCCACUGCAAGGUGUUAUUGUGAGGGUUGAUGUGAAACAUCUCUUUCAAUUGUGGCAGCAUACUUUACUGAGCAAAUAGGCACAAUUUAUUCUAAACUCUAGGCUGUACAUAGAUCAGCCCUUUGUCCUUUUGCAUAAAAACCUCACACAUUUUGAAUAAUUUAGGAUUACAUUACUAGAUGCACUAGCCAUAAGUUUUGAAAAUACAAUGUUCUAAUCCUCUUUAGCAAUACCUUUUACCUAAUAAUAUGUUCUUCAUACAGUGUAUGGGAUUAAGAUAUGAAAAGCUGAUACAUAACUAAGUCCAAAUAUAUUGUUCUUGGAAUAUAUUUCCAGGACACUUGUGUUAUGAUGGUAGGAGUUUUGAAAAAAAGAUUGUGCCAGUUCACUUGCCAAGAUAUUCCAUGCCUCUUGAUGACCAUUCUUGUUCAGUAAGGCUCUGUUCCUUAAAUUUGUUAUAUUAAUCAACAUUUCUGAUUAGCCUACAUGCCAAGGAGAGUGGAUGUGUUUGUUUGUGUGUAUUAUGUAUCCUUUGUUUUGUGCUCAUCAUGCAUGAUCUGAUUGAUGAUUUCCAUUCUGUGAUUCCUUCUAAUACUAUCUUACUUAUGUUUAUUGUAAAAUCUAUGAGUCCUUAUUCUGUCAUGUUAAGGACACCAUAUCUUGAAUCAUUUAUGAGAGAAAAUAUUUUUCUGCAGCAUAAGGGCAGUUAAGAGGUUUCAGUAUAUUGAACGUGCCCCUUCCUGAGGAGCUUCUAGAACUAUGAAAUCUGUGCAUGCCUAUGAUUAGAAAGAGUAGUUUUGUUCUCACCUCCUCCGAAGACAUUAUGAAUGGGUUGAUGGGAGUGAGAACGUGAACAUGAGACUCUUACCUGGCAUCA